ensembl:lncRNA
CCUACUCUGCCAAGUGUGGUAACAAGUACCAGUUUACAGCGGAGAAAAAGAAAGACAAGAUUCUCGCUUUGUGAAAUAUUCAUUUGUCAGCGGAAAGAGAAUGGACAAUAAACAAAUAAGUCCAUGAAAAUAUCAGAUUUUUUAUUUUUGAUUACAGAGUCUCCUAGACAAUAAUAAACACUGCGAAGAAGGCAGUGAUGGGAUGGGGGCGUGGGGGAGAAGGCGGGAGAGGGACUUUCGAUUCAGGUGAUAAGUUCUCCCCGAGAUGAUGUUUAGCUAAGACGUGGACGUCAAGAAGGAGCCAAAUGCUCGAGAUCCAGGAACAGAGGGUUCCCAGUGGAAGGGACAGCGAAUGCAAAGCUCUGAGGAAAGAGAGCUCUUGGCUAAGGUGUCUGGAGCAGAGCCAGCUAGGGAGGAAGCAGUGUGGAAGAAAUCUGAGAGGUGGCCAGGGGCCGAAUUGCAUAGCCCAAGGGAAGAAUACGGCCAUAACUUACCCUGUUUGUGAAAGGGUAAGAGUGCAGAUAUUCAGCAGGAAGAGGGAGUGCAGCCUAAAGGAAACCUCAAGAUGA